rnacentral:ncRNA from 1 species
GCAUCCCGAGCGCACUUCGGUUCCGCACCUGCGGAUCAAAAGGGAACCCGGUGACGCGCGCAUUGCGCUUAUUCCGGGGCUGCCCCCGCAACUGUGAGCGGUGAGUGACGGCUGACUUUAGCCACUGGGUCGAUGAUCCGGGAAGGCCAGCCCGAGCGACGACCCGCAAGCCAGGAGACCUGCCGAGGCGCUCAUCCUUUC